CCCCCCCCCCCCCCCCACCCAGUCUCCCUGUGCCGCCGGUACCAGCUCCUCCCAGGGUUCACCUGUUCCACGCCCCGGCGCCCAUCCUCAUCUUCUCCUCGAGGCCCCGAUUCCUCCCCCUGCUGCUCCAGCUCCCGCUCUCGCGCUUCCUCCGCAAGCGGCUGCAGUGCCGGCGCUCCCUCAGCCGCCGCCUGCGGCACCCAUCUCCAGCUACAUGCCGCCUCCUCGCCCCCCUCAGCAGCAAACUGGUUCGAUGCUCCCGCCCCCGUCUCCAAAAGUGACGGCGAAGGGGAGACCCAUGCCCAACUCACAGAUGGAAAUUGUUCUCGUAUUCUUCAUGUCCCUGGCAGAAAAUCUCAUGGCCUUUUUCCUGAUGUCGAAAGAAAUUUCCAAGAUGAUAUUAUUUGAGAAAUGUCCCAGUGGAAAAAAAAAUGUAAUUAUUGAUUUUCGGAUGAGAUCAGAUCGUCAUAACAUAUAUGAUAUAGUAUCAUAGUGUUCAUAUGAAAAUCUCACCCCUGACCUCAUUCUGUGAAGAAGAGAGCAUUGCUUGGAUGAGUAUUUGGGAAACCAGUUCUUGGCACGUCAGAUAUUUCAACAGCCCAUUACACAUAGUUGAACUUUUUGCAAGCACAGCCAUAUCUUGUUACCAGAACUGCCAAAUUACAUAUAUUAACUCUACAUCAGGUUUGCAACAUUGAAGGCAACGGAAUAUAUUGUCCUAUCUGCUCGUGGUAGUCAGGUACAUCUCCGUGGUGUGAAACACGAGACAAAAUAGGAACCUUGGAUUGGUACAGAUAAUCCUACUCUGAAUAUUCAUUUCUGGAGCGAUAUUGUCCAGAUAAGGUCAGAAUCAGAGAUGAAAUGCAUUGUAAACGUCAAUUUCUGUUGCUAAACCAAUGCUAUGCAAGAUAAGGAUGAGGCUCACCUAAAUUCCACCGGAGUCCGGUGGUGGUGGUGCUUGUCGAUGGCAUGCCAAUUGGGAUCAACCCACAGUGGGG